CGCUCGCGCGAUAAAUAGCUUUUCCGCCACCCCCCACCCCCGCAUGCUGCCGGCGCCCCCAACCGCGCCCUCGCCGCCGUCGCCGUCUCCCCCACCUUGCUGCCGCCCUUGCGCUCUGCCCGCGCUCGACUCCACGGCCGCCGCCACUAACCGUUCCCACCACGCCUCUCAACGUGCCGCGCUGUCCUUCCAUAGCUCUCCCCCUCAGAUUGCCCCCGCGCCCAUGCCUCGCGACGGCCUGUCGCCGAAGACUGCGCCGGUCUGCCUCCUCCUCCUCCACCCCUAUCGGGUGAAACCCUUGGCGCCGGUCUGCGCCGGUCUGCCGCGGAUCCAGCAGCAUGUCUCUCACAUCGGCGCGCCCGCGGUCCAGAGGAGCGUACGCAACGACUGGGGCCCCAACAUCAGCGGCGCAGCCCCUAGGACUGCUGGCGGCGGAGGUAGGGUGCGCUGCCCCAAGGAGCGCCGCCGGCGAAUGCCAAGGCGACAUCAAGGCCCAAGGCAGUGGUGUGGGGAGGGGCGCUUCCACGAGGAGCAGAUGUGGCGUAUGCACAGCACAGGCAGCGGCCGCAGCGGCGUUCACUAGAGGUGCAGCAGUAGGCGCGGGCAGCAGCACUUGGGGGUCAACGCCAUCAGCCGCCGGCAACAAAGCCAAGCAAAGCUCGACUCACUCCAGCUUUACCUACAAGGAACUGCAGGAACAGCAAGCUUGCGAGCAAUCAAAAGCCGUGACACAACUAUGGUGCCUGCACUGCUUGCAAGAUGUUCGGCAGAAUCUCCAUCGUCUAACUUGGUAAGCUGCCAGAGUCCUGACCCAUGCAGUCUCCUUAUUUUUACUGCUGUAAGGAUAAAACGAAAUCCCAUCUUUUCCUACUUGCUUGGUUGUAGAUGGUGAGAUCUACAUGUCUCUCGCUUGUUGUCGAAGCUUGGUUUAAUUUCAUGUUGAGCACCAAUUCUAUUUGAUUAAUUUGAGUUUUGCUUUAGAUAUUGCAUUUGUUGCCAUCUACAAUUUUCACUGCAGAUAUCACACUGCUAUGUCAAAAGUAGGGCUCAUUCUACCUUGAUCUCACAGAUAUAUUUGACAGAUGAAAAUAUUGUUUCUCUUUGUGGAGAAAAAAGAGAGUUGAUUAGAAUUGUUCCCUUAUAAGAAACUUGUGCAGGUAUGGAUAUGUUAUGAUUGGAUAAUUCAGAUAUGUUAUGAUCGGAUAAUUCAGAUGACAAGAAGCAUAUUUAUGAUCUAGGUUCGAGAACCCUUUGUUUCUACCUGACACUAUCAAUCAAAAUGUAGGUAAUUUGUCAUCCCUAUUUAGAUGGCCAACUGCUCCAACUAAUAAAUUGUGACUCCAUAUAAAUAAUGUGCAUUUACCACUUCAUGAUUGAAAUGCCAGCAGUUGAGGACGUGUUGUGUUUUUAAAGUCAACAAAUGAUUUUACUUAGAAAUAUGAGAGGUGAGAAGAUUGAGGAGGGAUUGCUGUAGAGGAACUAUACCAAAUUGAAAGGGAACUUGAAGCAUGAUUGCAUAGAGUGCUUACUGCAAGGUACGGUUACUGCUCAUGGUGUUCUUAAUAAUAGAAUAUGUUGUCUGUAUCCAGCAAUUUAGUUCUGGGCAUUUUUUUUUCUAGAUGAAACCAUUGUUUUUAAAUUCAUUCUGUUAUAUAUUGACAUUGUGCACUUUUCACUUGCUACUCAGAGUCAUGGCAUGAUCAUUUUUCACAUGCUUUCUGAAGAAGUCUUGAAAAAAAUCUCCAAACUUCUUGCCUUUUUGUUUGCACUUUGCAUGCUCUAAACUUUGAUUAGCAAAUUGUGUCUGUACUGACAACUAAUUGUGUAUGAGUUUUGUCGUACCUCUGGAUGUACUAAUAUUUGAAUUGGGUUCCUGCCCUAGCAUGAAAAAUGUUUAAGCCGAAUGCAAAUUACCAUAUAUUUCAUACAAUGUAUCUGAUUGUGGCAUCAUUCUGUUGUUUCCAAGUUGAGCUUAUCAUUGAAUACAUUGUUUGCAAUAUCCAAUCCCUUAAUUUGGUCUCAUCUGAGAGAGUAUUUUUCAUAUAUGUUUUUUACUGGUUUCAGAAGUCGGAACUGAACAUUUGCUUGGGUGGCUGAAUGCACAUAUGCCUAAUAGCAUGUGGUCAAUGUCGUUUUUUGAUGUGUUUUACUAAAAAUGACUAAAUGCUUUCUCUUCUGUCAGGCUAUCUCUUGUGUCAUCUAAAUCAUUGCAAGCCCAUAGCUUUUCUGGGGUUCACAUAGCUGAUGGAGGUGGCGCUAAUUCAUCGUGAUGUAUCGAGUUAGCUUGUUUCAGUGAAGACAAAAUUCCACAAUUUGAGAUACUAUAUUUGAGCAAAAUAGUUUAUUUCAUCCAAACAAUUUUAUUGCUGAUGGUGCUCUAACUAAUGAUGUAAUAAACAAUAUAUUAUAACUUAGUUGUAUGGAAUUAUACUUAUUUGUAAGUCAGGCCUGCUGGAACAUUCUUUAAUUUGGUGAAAACUAUAAAUAUACAUGGAGUUGGCUA